rnacentral:lncRNA from 1 species
CCUCUUUCUCCCCCCCCCCCCCCCCCCCCCCCCCUCCUCUCUCCCCCCUUCUUCAAGAAAACAAGAAAGCAAACCGUUGGCAUUAACACUUUCAAUUGAAAUGGCUGCACAGACAGGACUCAGCUUGGUUCCACCUCCACCCAAUGCACGCACGCACUUGCUCCCAGUGUGAACCAAUUUGCAGGAUCCCAUCGAAAUUGGGGUUUCUCUUAGUAAACGAACUCAUUGCUCCAGGUGAAGCGGUGUAGUAAAGCCGUGGCACCUGAGCAAUUACAGAGAAUUGAUGGCACUAAAUAAACAGUGAAGUGUGUUUUAACUCUGUUGCAGCAAAAUGAACUGAACUCCCACACGCGGCUCCGUCUGCCUUUUAUCCCUCUUCUGUAGCUGCCCGUGCUCACGCACGCCGGUGAAACAGCGGCUCCCACUAAUUGACACACUUCAACCAGCCGCAUCAGCAGCCGCGGCGCGGCGCGGCGCUCGCUCGUGACGGUCUGACGAUCUGGCGCACGCGGCGUGCGUUCCGCACCGAAAGUGUGCACGCGACGCGUCGCAAAGCACCGAGGGCGCCUCGACAUCAGCAGCUACAGCGAGGCGUGGAGGCUGCAGCGCGAGAGCGGGACCCUCAAUCACAGUUAUCCACCUUGGUUGGGGGGCGCGUGCAACGUGAUGGGAAUGCGGCACAUUGUUUCUGGCAGCCAGCGGGCUGUAAUGAUGUGGGCUAAAGGAGCUCCGGCGAAGAUCAGAGGAGAGGAGGAGUGCGGUGAGACCCGUGGAGGGGCCGCUGCUCCUUACUCUGCACCCUCUGCACAUUUCAUGAGUUUCCAGAUUGUGCACGGAAGCCGGUUUGCAGCAUGAGAACUGGACAGCCUGCACUCAGCAGGUCGGGAGGGCUACAAGUUGCAGCCAUAGACUUGGAUCUGGUGGAGAAUUUAAAACGCAUGCAGCUUCUCUAAUAAAGACACGGAGCGGCGCUCCUCGGGAAUCUGC